ACAAGAACAGAAUAACAGUGCGACUGCUACCGUAGUACACAGACUAAGGGCGUCAUCAAAUAAUAAUACUUAACAUAUACUCAUUUAAAUUAUUGGUUAAAACC